CAGCUUUUGUCUCUGCCCCGGUCCCGGUGGUUCCCUUGGGCAUGCGUGCCCAAGUUCAGACUCCAUCCCCUCCCCCUGCCCUUUCUCCUCUGCGCUUCUGGCUGCGCCGAGCCGGGAACCCUAAGCUCUGGGAACUUCCCCGGUGGCGGCCGUCUUAGGGUCAGAGCAUGCUCAGUGGCCCGGACUUUUCGGUUGCAGAAGGAGCUGGCGGGGAUGGUCGAGGAUUAUAGAAAAGCUUUGUUAAACUUCCUCUGACAUCUGGAUGUACAUGCUGGACUUGUACUAAGAAGAAUCCUAUGGCACCUGUCAAGUUAAAUGUCACUCCCCGCCUCCACUUGGACUUUCUGCUUAAGACCUGCAUGUGACUUUUCACCUGCGAUCCACGCUUUUGGUAUCUACUGACUUUGAUUACAGGAAAG
rnacentral:lncRNA from 1 species